UGAAGUGUACAGGAGAGCCCUUUGGUUUUGUUUAGUUUGGAGAUUGAAGCCCCCGGGCUGUUCUUCUAACAGGUUUACAAUUUCCUCUAGGUUGUCUUUGGUUUGCCACUAAACCACCUAUUUGGAAUCAUGACUUGAUGACCUUGUGACACUAAACUGUGAUAUAGCAUCUUACCUGACAAACAGGGAUGUAGUGGAGGCUAAACACAAGUGAACACAUUUUAUCCGUCUCUGAAAUCUCAGGAGUUUAUCCACCUAAGCUAAUUUUUCAUUCGACUUUUAGCCAUCCACCUCUCAAAAUAGCUACUUUUAUCAAUCGAAAAUCGCACUGUUUAUCCACAUUCACACACUCACAUUCAUAUUUACACUCUAGGAACCAUUUAAUACCACUGAUAUCGUUAUAAACAUUGGUCAAUGUACAUUAGCCUCCACCCUCAUCAAUUUUCUGAAUGCCUUUUUCAAAAUGCUGAUUCCGCAUGGCAGUCACCCUCACAGAAUUCAUAGUUUACCCAUCUCUUAUUUUACCACUACAUCCCUGCUGACAAACCCAAUUAUUUUCUGAAAGGUGGUUGAUCCCUGAAUUGAUGUGGAAAACCUGUACUAUACCAAGAUGUGUUAUUACAUAUAACACUGUUGUCAUGCUCUUACCAUUGAGUUGUUGCUGAGUAUGUUUUAGUUAGAACAUCAGUUUACUUGUUAAGGUGAAUUGAGUGUCUUUAAAAUAUAUUCAUCAAGCUUAUCUAUACUACUUUUGUUUUACUGCUGUUGGAUUGUUGAAAUUAAAAUAGUCCUUGGAUGGCACAAAACAGCCACAAGGCAAUGGUAAUGGAAACACUUACUUUAUUAUAAAUAAGAGGGAAAACAAGUCAUAAAAACUUAAAAGGUGUUUUGUAUUUGCAUACUGUAUGUUUAAACUUGACAUAAAUACAUAAACAUCUGCAAGUGCUGUCAUGUACAGGGGCGGACCUGGACACUUUGAGGCCCAAGGCAAAGGAUUCCGAGGCCCCCGUCAAAAAACUGACAGGUGGAUUACACCUCCGUAACAACAUCAGCUGAUAAACACGUGUCACACUACUCCACCGUGUGACCUUCUGAUGAAGACGGAAGUAUACAUCGAAACAUGUCAAGCCGCUGGCCUCUGGAUCAACAACCAACCUGCCCCGUGGUAUGACUGCACUUCACCCUCUGGGUCUACUGCUGUCUGACCGCACACGCUGAGUAAAGCUCACAUCCUCCACGCUGUUCAGAGGAAGACGCUGCUGCAGACUUAACUCAGAUACUCACCAAAGCUCUAAGGGACUUCAAAAAGCUGUUCAUUCAUUUCACAAUUUACCUGGUACAAGAGUCUCGUCAUGACCAAGCUACUAUUCAUCUCAUUCUUUCUGGCAGUACUUGUCAUCAGUGUGGAGGCUAAUUGGGUCUUCGACACGAUGAAAAUAUAUAACGAGGCCAUGGAGAUGAUUGGCAAGAUAGUUGGUCGAGAGAAACUUGAAGCUGCAUAUAGCACAGCUUUUGAAACAGGAGCAGGUGUGACUGAGGCAACAGCUAACCUUGUUUGGGACGUCAUCAGACACCUCUUUGAAUAACUUUACUAUCUGUGACCUAUUCAUUGAUGUGGAACCAACCACAUUGCUCAUCAUUAAUCUGCUACAAAGCCCAGCUAUUGUGAAGAUGGAAUACCCUGCCUCUGUAUAUCAAACAGACAAAUUCUGUAAACAUCUUUAACUAAAAAAAAGACCUGAAAACAUACCUUUUUAUGAGAGCUUUUAGUUAAAGGAGAAAUCCGGCAAGUUUUCACAUAGAUCUCCAUUUGUCGAAGUCACCAAAACAAUGAACACAAUCUGUUUUACCUAGCUUGAGUUGCUACAGCCAGCAGGUAAUGUAGCAAGGCAGCUGCAGCGCUACACUCUGGGGGCAUGUACAGUACAUGGUAGCUCAUGCCUGGCUGCGUUAGCUGCCUUGAGCUAACUCGAGCUAGGUUAAACCGUUUGUUUUCUUUUUUUUUUCAUACCGACAGUACUCUGUGACCUCGACAAAUAGUGGUCAUUGUGAAAACUCACCGGAUUUCCUCUUUAAGUCACUUUUAUCUUGUAUUUCGUCACAUUAUUAUGACUGCUGCGCUAGCGAAGCAAGAACCGUAGGGCCUAGGAUGACUAACUUCAACCCAUCCCAUAUCCACUCAUUUGAGGUAUAGCGCCACCCACUUAAAAAUGAAAAAGCAAAAACGAGGCAUUGCAAUCACAGGCAUCUCUGGCUGACAUAAACAAACACACACACAAACACACACACACACACACACACACACACAUGCACACAAAGUACACAUG